UAAUUUUUAAAAGUGGAAAAAAUUAUUCAGCUAUAAUGGGUCGAUGUGAGAAGCUUUGCCAUCUCUCUAGAAAUUCCUAAAUUUCUAGGGUUUCAAUAUCUCGUUGAUGACAAUGGUACAGUCACAAUUUACGGAAAGAGUUUCUUCUUGCACUACGGAAGGGGUUUUUCUUGUAUGAUGUUGAUGGAGGCUAAUGGUUUGGCGAGUCAAAAGAGGAGGGCGCAGAGACUGAGAUGUUCGAUGCAGGACUACGAUUGGGGUCGAUUCGGCUGUCAAUCGUGUGUUACGAGGCUGUUUUCUCUAAAUUCUAGGGUCGAUGUAGACGAAGCCAAGCCUUACGCUGAGUUCUGGAUGGGCAUUCACAAGUCUAGACCCUUCUUCAUCCUCCAAAGCUUCAAUAAUAAGGUGUCGAUUUGUUCAGACUAUGUGGGUUUGAGUUUGAACUCGUGGAUUGCCAAAGUCCCUGGUGUUCUUGGCGAUAAGGUUAUUAGAAAUGGGGCGUUGCUCUUCCUUUCUCGUUCAAGGUACUUUUAGUUUCAAAGGCAUUGUCAAUACAGGCCCAUCCUGAUAAGGAAUUUGCUGGGUUUCUGCACAAGACUCUGCCUGAUGUCUUCAAGGUUGAUAAUCAUAAGCCUGAAAUGGCUUUGGCACUAACAGAAUUCGAGGCCCUCUGUGGGUUUAUUAGUCUCAAGGUGUGUGCAGUUCACCCAGUCUGUGACUAUGGAAGGGCUAUCACUUGAUGGGUUUUUGUUGGAGGCAAGUGUUCCCUAUUUCUUUUCAUUUUUUAGUCAUUCAUUUCUGCAAUUAGCAAUACAGUGAAUUUUACUUGCAUUGUAUAACUGUUGUGAUUAUAUCGAUUAGUUCACACAUGAAGUUCUACAGUUAAAAAUCCAAUAUGCAAAAAAAUUUACAAAUGUAAUGUUAUUUGCUGAUAUGGAGUUAUCUUUCUUUUUCUUUUUGGUUGAAUUUUGAUGGGCUACACAUAAUGGGGAAUUUCCCUCUCCUUGACCAUGACCCUCCCCACCCUAACUAUCAUGUUUAAAAAAAAUUAAUUUUUUGUCCCCUUAUCCCAUGUUUAUUAAUGAUGUGACUGUGUUGUUAUUAAAGCUGUAGAAUGUGCUGAACUACUGGAGCUUGGUUCAAGAAUGACUAGAUUAAUAGUGACCUUCUUUCAUAUUCUAUGGCUUACCAACCUUUUCAGAAACUGAUAUAGAUCUUUUCAGCAAUCAAAUGUCAAAGUGUGCAGGUACAAGCUUGGUAUUUUUCUUACCACUGUUGGUAGAGAUGGCCUUUGACGCUACUGGACAGAUUUUCAUGAAAUUGAGGUUAAGAGUGUGCUUGAUCCUUGUGAGGAUGAAAAUGAUGGCAUUCAAGACGAUGAUGUGAGCUUGGGAGCUGAUUAUGUACAAAGGGAUGAGCAUUCGGAAUCUGAUAGUGAGUGUCGGAAAGACCUCUUUGAUGAAUCAAUAUGUGAAUAAGAAGUUUAGCAAUCAAUGCAAGGCAAUAAUCGGAGCUGAUUUCUGACUAAAGAAAUGCAGUUUGAAGAUAGGCUCUUUGCUUUACAGUUAUUUUAUUUACAUCACUGUAGAAAAGUUGGCUCGAACUCUGGAGGCAAAAGACAUGUCUGACAAUAAAAUUGUGAGUGCAGACGGUGACAACAAAAGUCAUUCAAGAACAAGUGAAGCCUGCCUCAUAGUAACAUGGUUGCUUACACAUUGAAGAAGAGGAGAAUAGAGGUACAAGAUGAACAAGGAUAAUGUGGUAUUAUUGAAUCACAAUGUGGAAAAUUAUGCCUAGGUAACAGCUAAAGUGGCCAUUGUUAUCAUGAAUCGACCAUUUAUGAACAUUGCUAAUAUAGUUAAAGCAAAGUCGAUGAAGUGGAGAAAUUCGUUUACUGCAGUGUGUGAAUGAUAAAUAUGUUUUGAAUUGCAUGGAAAUUUCAUAUGAUAGGUAGACACUGCUCGUGCUUUAUAGAAUAGUGGGCUAGAGAAUUCUGGUAGGUAGACGCUACUCACGCUUUUAUGUUUGAACUAAAAUGGAAUAUUUUACAAUUCUUAAGUUUAGAGAAUUUAGUGUUACAAUUCUUAAAAGUUUGGAGAUUUGAGUUUACUUGGGUUGGACCAUAUUCUUCUUAUAUCUAUUUUAUCUUUUGAUUAUUUUUUACUUGUUAUGUACCUUAGCAGCAUUCAGAAGUGCUUGCACUGAGCAUUUUUUAAUAUUUUUUUAUUUGAGAAGAGGAUGUUUUGAUUUUUGUGCAGGAGAAUGGUAAUGGAACUUCUAGGGAUAAUUCUAGAGUGGUGGAUGGUGAAACCGAGGACUUCUGUACCAAACUAGAAAUAUCUAGUAAAAAAUCAGGCAUUGAUCAUUACAGCAAUGAGGAAAGUAAUCUUGUAAAAACUGAUGCAAUGAGUAAGUUUCUACUUUGCGAUCUGUAAAUUUUCAUGUAUUUGAAUAAUUGGCUUUGCCCCACCCCAUGCCACCAGCACCACCAUGAACACAUGUACCGUAUACCCACAGAGUUAAGGUUGGGUGGGGGUGGGGGGGAUUUACUGUCAUAUCUGACCACUUGUAUUUCAUUGCUAUAAGCGUAGCCCCAGAUGUUAUCAAUAUGAGGAUUGUUGUUUUGUGUAUCUGUUUUAGGCUUCUUCUCCUUAUAUCUAUGGCAUACACUUGACUAUACUAGUUUCAUACUAGUUUCAUAUCCUUGUGUUGCUAUUAAACCUUAAAAUCCAAUUAUUCAAAGUUUUGGGAUGCAUUUGUAAUGAUGCUUGGUUCAUGAUUUAUGGAAUGCCAAUAGAGAGUAGCACAUAUGGGUUUGUGGUACGUUUUUUUUUAACUGAUGUUUCAGUUAUUAUGAGUUCUUGAAGGACUAAUAUGUAUAUAUUAAUCUAUGUUGUAGGUACUCAGAUUGAACAUUAAAUAGAGCAACUAGAUUCAAGGGUUUGAAUUUCCAAUUAUUAUUAGGAUUACUUUUAUAGCAACAUCAAUUUAUUAGCAACAUCAAAUAGAGUAACUAGAUUCAUAUGUUGAAUGUACUCAG